rnacentral:rRNA from 1 species
UACGUAGGGGGCUAGCGUUGUCCGGAUUUAUUGGGCGUAAAGAGCGUGUAGGCGGCCAGGUAGGUCUGCUGUGAAAACUCGAGGCUCAACCUCGAGACGUCGGCGGAAACCAUCUGGCUAGAGUCCGGAAGAGGAGAGUGGAAUUCCUGGUGUAGCGGUGAAAUGCGCAGAUAUCAGGAGGAACACCGGUGGCGAAGGCGGAUCUCUGGGCCAUUACUGACGCUGAGGAGCGAAAGCGUGGGGAGCGAACAGG